UCAAUUCGAGAUGGGAACAGAGACGCUGCCGGCGAAAGAUGAAACUUUCUCUGUGACACUACCAACUCCACAUAGGAAUCCAGAAGCACCACGAUUUUUAUUUCAGAGCCCAGAGGUAUUGCCAGUUCUGGAGAAGUACACUGAGCAUGAAACACUUCCAGUGCUAGCCCAGAAUACUGAGAUACCGUGACUCUAGAAUGGGACUGGGCAAUGCUUGUCUGCUUUAAAUCUGGCACCUGGAAACCAUGUAUGGAGAAUCAGGAACCAAAGCCCAGAGAACACAACUCCAGGUAGCUUCCAUCCAAAAUGCCCUCUCUCCUGGCUCUCGAGUGGAGAACAUAGCCGGCUCUGGAGCGAAGUCCUGCAACACGGAAGUCUCCACCACUCAGCUCAGAGCCACACACACCCAAGCGGCUGUAGAGGAAGACAGGCUUGGGUUCCAACUUGAGAUUUCCCUGCCCCACCCCUGGGCCAGCUGCAGAAACUUGGAUGACUCGCACAUGUGCUCUUGAAAAAUUAUUCAUAAACCACCAGGAGAAAGCACAUCCCAUGGGUAUUUGGGAAAACUGCUUGGAAUCUUCUCUGAAAUGUCAAUGUGUUCCUUUCGCCUGUCCUCCUCCUUCCACCACGGGCAGAUGCUGUCCCAUUUCACCAGUGAGGAGAGAGGCACGCUUUGGUGAAGAGAACCCAGUGGGUAUCGGCUCCCUUCCCGGGACGCGAGGAUGAAGAAGACACCGAGAAAUGGCCCCUGCUUCCUGCUUGGGCUCAGCGGCCAUUGAGGAGUGCACACACCCUGCAAGUCUCUUACUGACUGCAGGGUUUCCUGCGUAGAACACAAGGCUUACAACACGCCUGGAAACACACCCGGAAUCUGAGCAAAAUUACCUCUUCCAUCCACAACUGUCCUUUUUGUGCCUUUCUUCUUGCUUUCUCCCAUAACCCAGAAGAAAUUAGGCAUAGAUCUGAGAAAUCUUUUUUACCCUUUGGGGUCGGCAACUUAAGACAUGUCCUAUAGUCCUCCCAUCGUUUCAUAAACACAUUUUAAAUGACUUCACCUAAGAGGAUGAAUGCCUAUAGGUGGAGUCUAUACCGCAUGGCAGAAACGGUGGGGCGGAGUCUACACCAUAUGCUAGAAACAAUGGGGGCAAUAUUUGAGGUAGUGGUGUGGCAAAUUCCAUUUUCUUGGUGUUCCUUGAAUGUGC